GACGUAGGUGGCAAGCGUUGUUCGGAAUCACUGGGCAUAAAGCGCACGUAGGCGGCUGAGUAAGUCAGGCGUGAAAUCCCCCGGCUCAACCGGGGAACUGCGCUUGAUACUGCUCGGCUUGAGGUCCGGAGGGGAGAGUGGAAUUCCCGGUGUAGCGGUGAAAUGCGUAGAUAUUGGGAAGAACACCGGUGGCGAAAGCGCUCUGCUGGGCCUGCACUGACACUGAGGGACGAAAGCUAGGGGAGCGAAAGGG
rnacentral:rRNA from 1 species